UGUAGCACUGCAGUACUGCCUCUGUCAGCGGCAUCCAGUACACAUACGGUGACAGUGAGAAAAGGCAAAACAGGCUCCAUGGUUGCCAUGCUAUGGCGUCUGCUAGGACAAUCCAGGGAAAAAGGGCACGAAAUGAUUGUCUGCCGUUGCUUUCACGGAGGAAGGAAUGAGUGAUGACAUUUACCCAGAAUCACCCGCGACACUGUUUUUGCACCAUCAUGUAUUGGGAUCUCAACCCAGAAUUCCAAUGGGCGGGGGCGACUGCGGGAACUAUGGGAUAGCUACCCACAGUGCAACGCUCCGGAAAUCGACGCUAGCCUUGGUACAUGGACGCACACCGCCGAAUGAAUGUGCUUAGUGUGGCCGCGUGCACUCGACUUUAUACAAUCUGUUUUACAAAACUGGUUUAUGUAAAAUCGGAAUAAUCCCGUAGUGUAGACAUACCCUCAGGUACUGAGGAAAGAUCAUGUUACUGGUUCUUGGGUUACAGGGAUGCAGGGGAGAGCAGGCAAAGUCGCAUCUCUAGAUAUUUUGGAUAGCAGUUGUAGUCUCUUAGUGGACUUGACAUCUAAUUCCAAGUGGAAGCAGAGGUUGGUAAGGGAAGGACAAAAGAACCUUGGGUCUAACAUUCUAGUGAAAAUGGAUGGUACCUGUUUAAGACAGAGGGCAGCCUUGGAAUUGGUAAAGCUUGAGGAUCUGAAAACUAGUAAACAAGCUAGUGUCUGUGUUAAUGCAAAUGACCUGACGGGCGGGGGGCGGGGGACAAACUUGCUCAUAGCCAUUAGUAAAGAAGAUGCACCCAGCCAGCCAAUGAAGUCUGUUGCACAAAAGAGGUCAGAUUUUGACCUUUCUGGACAGGGAGGAAAGGAAGGAUUAAACCUUGCAAAUAAAAGCCAGAUGUUAACCCUAAAAAACUGAAACCCCACUAGUUAAGCUGAAAGCCUAUGUUAAGGAAGACCCUGAGGUCCAGAGAAAGCUGCAAGGAAAUCAAAAUGGAUAUUGAACAAGCUGACCUAAAGUAUGACUUAUCUAAACCAAAGGCUUGGUAUGACAAAAAUAAUGGUACAUGUACACUUGAUUGAAUUGAUGUUAAUAUUAUUGCUAAUGAUUGUAACUAACUUGUUGCUGAUACCAAGAACUGUAAAAAUGUACAAUUUGUACAUUUUUACAGUUCAUGGUAUCCACAACAAGUUACAAUCAUUAGCAAUAAUAACAAGACUGCUUAUGUGCAUGGUCUUCUGGAAAAGCCCUGGAACAUGUUAAGUGGUACAUAACAGAAAUCCUUAUGAUUGUGUUCUUGUUGAACUAAACAGCAUACUGUAUGUUAAAAAGCCUAAUAAUGUUGAGGCUUCAUAACUAAUGCAUAGACUUAUUUCUAAAACUUUCCACAGCAGAAAAACCACUACAAGCUUGAACUGCUGUGCAGAAGGGGAAAUUGAGGCACAACACCUCACAGUCUUCAUGGCUGAAUGCCAGAGUAAAUGCUCUCUAACAUUAAUGUCUUUGUUAGUUCAACACCUAGACCAAACCCUGGAAUCAUUAGUGUUUAACAAAGCAUGGACUAAGUUUUCAGCUGGGGCCAAAGCAUGCAUCAAUAAUUUGGCCUUGCAAAGAAUUCAAUGUAAACACAGCUCAUUUCAAUGCUGGAAGGUCCUUAAAGUGUAUUCAGGAGUUCUAAUUUCACCCUUCCACACCAGUCUCGCAUUGGGGGUGUGAUGCAUGGCUAGAAAGGGUUAAACAAUCUGCAAAAUAAAUAACCCUCAAAAGACAUGUGGGGAGAUGUUUGUGUUUUUUGUAUAUUUACUUAUGUAUGAAUAGUGUCAACAGUUUGGUCAGCAGCCCCUGUCUUUGUUGUAUUCUGCUAUCAUUUUAAAUGAAUUGUCCACACGGGAUCUCUUCUGGACGAGGGCUUUGAAAUAUACUGUGAAUGGUGGAAGAACAAGCAAAUGGACUUUUGUUAAUUUGUAUAGCUAAGUACCAGUGAUGGACCUUAUUCAAAGUCAAACAGUAAUUAGCAUGUUCCCUGAGGAAAUGCCAACUUGUCAAAGAGGACAUGAAACUGUAUAAAAGAUCCUUGGGUCCUGAUUCUGUCAUCUCAGAUCUGCUUAAGCUUCUUCAGGGGAAGUUUUGAGUCACAACUCAGAGGUCCCAGUUAAGCUGGUAUGCCGUGAAUGUGAUAUUUGGACAUUGGACUAUGAACUAUUUCUGAGAAAACUCUUUGCAGCCACAAAGCUCACCAUCUUGGCAAUGAAUCGGCACCUAAAUGAAUUGAACUCAUGUCUGUGCAUAUAUUGAUCUUUUAACCAUACUCAUUCUCUUGGUUUUUUAAUAAGUUUUAGUUUAGUUCAUACAAGUUCGCUGUAACGUGUAUUUCUAAUGCAUAUACAAUGAGAAAUCAAAGUGAAAAAUCAAAGGUAUACAGAUGGCUCUAAUUUUGCUAUUCCCUGACUUUUGAGUGUGUCACUUUGCAAUUUUAAUACCCAAAUGUAUUAUUUUGGUAUAGAAUAUAUUAUUUUCUAUGUAACACCAGAUACUUUAAUACAAAACUUAAAAUAAAAACCUAAGUGAAAUA